ACUCUAUCCAAUCAGUGGUGGACAAUGCACGUGAGCGCUACAUGCUUCACCAAAUUUCCUACAACAUUCCUUGUAAAUGUGUUUCCUUUAAGUGGCGUAUUGGGCACCUGUUAAGUCAAUUAGCAGUAAACAUCAGUGUUUUUUUAAUAUAUUUUUAGUCGGAGGUGGUGGCAAUGGUGAUGAACAGGUACACAAACAACUGAAAAAAAGAUAUCAACAUUCUCAUUCAGGAUUACUUGGCUGGGGGAAAACCCUAAAUAUGCAACUCCAGUCAAUUACACAUAGUACAGGUGGUCCACUAUGCAAAUGCACAGUGUGUACCUGCAUCGCCAAAGAGCAGCAACAGUACUGGGACUAGGAAUCGAUGUGGUGAGAUAUCAGGACUGUGGCAGGUGUGGUGAGAUUUCAACAAAAUUGGCUGACCAGAGGAUGGAUGUCACUGACAGAGCCCAAGUUGGCGGCAGAGCGGGCAGGCAGGCCUUGCACUUCGCUCUCUAACUAAGAAGGGGCACAGCAAGUUCAGAGACACCCUCUAUGAGAGCACCACAACAAAAGCACAGGGAAUUGCUGUUGGUGCUGUGGGAUAUUUUGAGGCCUGCCAAGGGUUAUCAUCAGCAAGCGUUAACAACAGCAAUCAAUGAGUGUUUGUAAAGGUCUAGUUUGAAAAGCACUGGCCCAUGAUGAUGAUUGCUCAACACUGUCUAGAGCCAGUAGGUUUGCAUUAACACCUGCUGUAUAGUUUGACCUUUGACACCAACCAUUCAUGCAAACUGUAGGCAUGAACUGUGAAUACUUUUGUGUGUUUUCAAACUGAAACUUGUGGUCUUCGAGUGCUUUAUGCUACCAAUGUGAAUGAGGUAUUGAAAUGCAUUUAGGCCUAGAUAUCAGACCAAUCCAAAGGGCAUUAUAAUACAAUAGAUCUUUUGCACUCGGUUGGUGCCUAAUGGAAGUUCUACCUCCAUUAGUAAUACAGGUAAAUUCACACGUGUAAAUACAGUACACUUUCUUUAGCUUAACACUACAGAAUGGAACA